GUUUGGUUUAAGGUCGUUAGUCGUACUAACGAACUAGAGGAGACGGCGUACGGGUAGGCGGAACGAUGUGUGUCAUACUGUCCUACUCAAGGGAGUAGCCGACGAAUACCGGACUUAAUACCCUAUAACAUAUGGGAUGGCAUCAUUUCAUAUUAAAGACUACGGCGGAUAAGGAUGAGCACGCACAAGAUUAGCUAGUUGGUAAGGUAACGGCGUUACCAAGGCGACGAUCUUUAGGGGGCCUGAGAGGGUGAUCCCCCACACUGGGACUGAGACACGGCCCAGACUCCUACGGGAGGCAGCAGUGAGGAAUAUUGGACAAUGGGUGAAAGCCUGAUCCAGCCAUCCCGCGUGCAGGACGACUGCCCUAUGGGUUGUAAACUGCUUUUAUAUAGGGAUAAACCUACUCUCGUGAGAGUAGCUGAAGGUACUAUAUGAAUAAGCACCGGCUAACUCCGUG
rnacentral:rRNA from 1 species